rnacentral:rRNA from 1 species
AUUGAACGCUGGCGGCAGGCCUAACACAUGCAAGUCGAGCGGUAGAGAGGUGCUUGCAUCUCUUGAGAGCGGCGGACGGGUGAGUAAUGCCUAGGAAUCUGCCUAGUGGUGGGGGAUAACGUUCGGAAACGGACGCUAAUACCGCAUACGUCCUACGGGAGAAAGCGGGGGAUCUUCGGACCUCGCGCCAUUAGAUGAGCCUAGGUCGGAUUAGCUAGUUGGUGAGGUAAUGGCUCACCAAGGCGACGAUCCGUAACUGGUCUGAGAGGAUGAUCAGUCACACUGGAACUGAGACACGGUCCAGACUCCUACGGGAGGCAGCAGUGGGGAAUAUUGGACAAUGGGCGAAAGCCUGAUCCAGCCAUGCCGCGUGUGUGAAGAAGGUCUUCGGAUUGUAAAGCACUUUAAGUUGGGAGGAAGGGCAGUAAGUUAAUACCUUGCUGUUUUGACGUUACAACAGAAUAAGACACCGGCUAACUUCGUG